rnacentral:rRNA from 1 species
UGGGGAAUAUUGCACAAUGGAGGGAACUCUGAUGCAGCGACGCCGCGUGAACGAAGAAGGCUUUCGAGUCGUAAAGUUCUUUUAUAUGGGAAGAUAAUGACGGUACCAUAAGAAAAAGCCCCGGCUAACUACGUGCCAGCAGCCGCGGUAAUACGUAGGUGGCAAGCGUUGUCCGGAUUUAUUGGGCGUAAAGCGAGCGCAGGCGGUCAAUUAAGUCUGAUGUGAAAGCCCCCGGCUCAACCGGGGAGGGUCAUUGGAAACUGGUUGACUUGAGUGCAGAAGAGGAGAGUGGAAUUCCAUGUGUAGCGGUGAAAUGCGUAGAUAUAUGGAGGAACACCAGUGGCGAAGGCGACUCUCUGGUCUGUAACUGACGCUGAGGCUCGAAAGCGUGGGUAGCAAACAGG